rnacentral:rRNA from 1 species
AUGGAGUACGUGGCCGUGCGGGCUCCGACUCCGAUGAGCCGCAGGACUCGCCAUGCUUACCAACUCGCCGCCGAUCCUACUGUUCUUCCUCCUCCUCCGUUGCAGACGACGACGACGGGCAACGGCGUGGAACAGCACAAUCAGAGACGCAUGGAUCUUGAGCACGAGGUGGCGGAGCUGAAGCAGCAGCUGAGCAACGAGGAGACGGUGCACCACAUCCUGGAGCGCGCCCUGCGCCCAACCACCACCACCUCCUCCUCCUCCUCCGCGCGUUCCGUCCUCCUCAACAUCCCGGCCUUCAUCCCGGCCAAGGCCAAGCAGCUGCUCGCGGAGCUCGUGCUCGUCGAGGAAGAGAUCGCGCGGCUCGAGUCGCAGAUCCACACGAUGAAGGGCGGCCUAAUUACCACCGCGCAGCAGCAACGGGCGUCCAUGGCGACCACCACCUGUGCCUCCUCCUACUCGCCAAGUGUCUACACCAGCAACGGCAAUGGCAAUGGCAAUGGCAACAGCAACGGCACGGCGGCAUACGCGGCAUCAAAUCGUCAGCCGGCUGAUCAGGUGGCGCCGGAGAUCAAGUCCAUGUUCUUCAUCAGCCAGGCCAUGAACGCCGAGUACCUCCAGCGCCAUCUUGCCGCCGACGACAAGCCGGACAGGAGCCCCAAAGACCAGACCAGAGGAUCGGGAGCCGCCGCCAUCAGCCUAAAGUUCAACGAUGACAUCAUUGGCCCCCCGCCAAGGAAUUCCCAUGACAAGAAGCAAUCGAAUAGCGCAGACGAAAAACCACCGAGGGUCACCCAAGAACCUUCGCCGCCGCCGCUGACGGCGAAGAGGGACGAGCAGAGCAAGGUCCAGCCGAACAAGCUGUCGGAGAGGAUCGUGAAAUGCCUGGCGGUGAUCUUCAUCAGGCUGCUCCGGUCGUCGCGGGCGGCGGAGAUGGACAAAUCCGGCAACCUCGCCAGGUCCGGGAACCUGCAGGGGAGCUUCAGGAUCGACGCGGCGCUGAACGUGGCGGCGGGCGCCGCCAAGGAGAAGGACAGGGGGCAGCAGGAUCACUACGGCAUCUUCGGGAUACAGGACUCCAUGGUCAGAGACAUCGGCCCCUACAAGAAUCUCGUCAGGUUCACCUCCAGCGCCUUCGACCUCAGAGGGUUCUCCAGCUCCCCUCUGCUCACCAAGCUGAGGGAGAUGUUGGAGGCCUUGCAGCAGGUGAAUUUAAGUAUUCUCACACACCAGCAGAAGCUAGCAUUCUGGCUCAACAUAUACAACACAUGCAUCAUGCACGGGAUUCUGCAGCAUGGUUUGCCCUCAAACUCUGAAAAGCUGCUAGCACUGAAGAACAAGGCAACGAUAAAUGUUUCAGGGCAGAAGUUCAAUGCUCUGGUAAUAGAGAAUUUCAUCUUGAGACAGCCAUCCAGUGUGAAAGAAGAAUUCUGGAAAUGCGACGUCGAUGUUGAAGAGCAACAAGUGAGGAGUCUCUACGGAUUGAACAGUUCAGAGCCCAACAUUCUGUUCGCGAUGUGCUGUGGCACCAGAUCUUCUCCAGCACUCCGGAUAUACAAGGCGGAUCGCUUGAUGGCGGAUCUGGAGAAGGCGAAGCUGGACUACCUGCAGGCGUCGCUGGUGGUGACCUCGACGAGGAGGCUGAUGAUCCCAAGCCUGAUACACUCCAACACGCACGACUUUGCCAAGGACAUGGAGUCCCUGCUCAGGUGGAUCUGUGACCAGCUCCCCACAUCUUGGUCGCUCAGAAAAUCCAUGGCGGACUGCUUGAGGGGGCAUCUGAAGGUCGAAGACGUCGUGGAGGUGAUCCCAUACGACUAUGAGUUUCAGUACCUGCUGCCCAAGUGA